UAAAUAGUACAACUCUUUAACACUUCUGGCGUCUUAUUAGAAUGAACAAUCUCAAGAUUCAAACUGAGGAGUUUGAUUCUUCGCAAGUUCUAUUCAUGUUUAUUAUUAUUGCUACUUCACUACUUCAGAUCAUAAAGUUGGUGUACAAUGAUGAUUCAAUGAAGUCAUAGGUGUCACAGAGUGGGCUCAGAUGAUAUAAGCUCUUGGAGAAGGCGCAAAUGGUAAAGCUCUAGCAUAGGGGAGGCG
rnacentral:lncRNA from 1 species